rnacentral:rRNA from 1 species
GACGAACGCUGGCGGCGUGCUUAACACAUGCAAGUCGAACGUGAUUUUUGUGGAAAUUCUUUCGGGAAUGGAAAUGAAAUGAAAGUGGCGAACGGGUGAGUAACACGUGAGCAACCUACCUUACACAGGGGGAUAGCCGUUGGAAACGACGAUUAAUACCGCAUGAGACCACAGAAUCGCAUGAUAUAGGGGUCAAAGAUUUAUCGGUGUAAGAAGGGCUCGCGUCUGAUUAGCUAGUUGGAAGGGUAAAGGCCUACCACGGCGACGAUCAGUAGCCGGUCUGAGAGGAUGAACGGCCACAUUGGAACUGAGACACGGUCCAAACUCCUACGGGAGGCAGCAGAGGGGAAUAUUGCACAAUGGGGGGAACCCUGAUGCAGCGACGCCGCGUGAGCGAAGAAGGUUUUCGAAUCGUAAAGCUCUGUCCUAUGAGAAGAUAAUGACGGUAUCAUAGGAGGAAGCACCGGCUAAAUACGUG